rnacentral:rRNA from 1 species
CGGAGGGUGCAAGCGUUAUCCGGAUUCACUGGGUUUAAAGGGAGCGUAGGUGGCUUUGUAAGUCAGUGGUGAAAUGUCGCGGCUCAACCGCGAAACUGCCAUUGAUACUGCUUAGCUUGAAUCACGUCGAGGUGGAUGGAAUAUUACAUGUAGCGGUGAAAUGCUUAGAUAUGUAAUAGAACACCGAUUGCGAAGACAGUUCACUAGGCGUGUAUUGACACUGAGGCUCGAAAGCGUGGGGAUCAAACAGGAUUAGAUACCCUGGUAGUCCACGCCCUAAACGAUGUAAACUCGACAUUAGCGAUAUACAGUUAGUGUCCAAGCGAAAGCGUUAAGUUUACCACCUGGGAAGUACGACCGCAAGGUUG